rnacentral:rRNA from 1 species
ACCGUGAGGACUGGUGGAGCGCUUAGAAGUGAGAAUGCCGGUAUGAGUAACGAUUCGUGGUGAGAAUCCACGACGCCUAUUGGGAAAGGUUUCCUGGGCAAGGUUCGUCCACCCAGGGUUAGUCAGGACCUAAGGAGAGGCUGAAAAGCGUAUCCGAUGGACAACGGGUUAAUAUUCCCGUACUAUCUAUGACUGUGAUGGAGUGACGGAGAAGGAUAGCACUACCUAUUAUUGGAUUUGGGGGUAAGCUUAAACUGGUGAACAUAGUUAAAUGCGUGUUCUAUAACCGGGAUAAGUGAUGCAUAGGCGCAUGCUGAAUUGUGUGAUUUCAUGCUUCCAAGAAAAGCUUCUAAACGUUAAACUCAUAGAUACCUGUACCGAGAACGGACACACGUUCCCAAGAUGAGUAUUCUAAGGCGAGCGAGAAAACUAGUGUUAAGGAACUCUGCAAAUUAACCCCGUAAGUUCGCGAGAAGGGGUGCCAUCUUGAUGGCCACAGUAAAUUGUGAGGGGCAACUGUUUAUCAAAAACACAGCUCUCUGCUAAAUCGUAAGAUGAAGUAUAGGGGGUGAAGCCUGCCCAGUGCCCGAAGGUUAAGCAGAUGUGUUAGCUUAUGCGAAGCAUUGAAGUGAAGCCCGGGUGAACGGCGGCCGUAACUAUAACGGUCCUAAGGUAGCGAAAUUCCUUGUCGGCUAAAUACUGACCUGCACGAAAGGCGCAAUGAUCUCUCAACUGUCUCAACACUAGACUCGGUGAAAUUAUGGUCCCAGUGAAAACGCUGGGUACCCGCAUCAAGACGAAAAGACCCCAUGGAGCUUUACUACAACUUCGUAUUGGAACUUGGCCUAACAUGUGUAGGAUAGGUGGGAGACUAUGAUCUUAAGGCGCUAGCCUUAAAGGAGUCGUCCUUGAAAUACCACCCUUGGUAUGUUGAGUUUCUAACCUGCUACCGUUAUCCGGUAGGGGGACAGUGCGUGGUGGGUAGUUUGACUGGGGCGGUCGCCUCCUAAAAGGUAACGGAGGCGUUCAAAGGUACACUCAAUACGGUCAGAAACCGUAUGUAGAGCGCAAAGGUAGAAGUGUGCUUGACUGCGAGACCUACAAGUCGAGCAGGUGCGAAAGCAGGACUUAGUGAUCCGGCUGUACGUCAUGGAACGGCAGUCGCUCAACGGAUAAAAGUUACCCUGGGGAUAACAGGCUUAUCUUGCCCAAGAGAUCACAUCGACGGCAAGGUUUGGCACCUCGAUGUCGGCUCAUCGCAUCCUGGAGCUGGAGUCGGUUCCAAGGGUUUGGCUGUUCGCCAAUUAAAGCGGUACGCGAGCUGGGUUCAGAACGUCGUGAGACAGUUCGGUCCCUAUCUGAUGUGGGCGUUGGAAUAUUGAUGAGAGCUGCUCUUAGUACGAGAGGACCGGAGUGGACGUACCGCUGGUGUUCCUGUUGUUUCGCCAGAAGCAUAGCAGGGUAGCUAAGUACGGAAAGGAUAACCGCUGAAAGCAUCUAAGUGGGAAGCCUCCUCAAAGAUAAGUAUUCCCUUGAAAUUCCUUGUAGACUACGAGGUUGAUAGGAUGGAAGUGUAAGUGUAGUAAUACAUUCAGCUGACCAUUACUAAUAAAUUGAUAGGUUUAAAA